rnacentral:misc_RNA from 1 species
GUGUAUAACAUUAAAUGACGUCACAGAAAUACUUGGUUGUCUUUAGAUUUGUACACGCCAUUUUGUUUAACGCUGAUUUCUAGUUGAAAUUCAAGAGGUUGCGGUACAAAAGCCAAGGUAUGACCCUUUUGCAUACCGUCAUUGUAGUUGGUGUAUUCAUCUUUCUCAAUGUGAAUUUCACAGAAGCUGGAGAAGAAAUUCUUUUACGGGCAAGUGCACAAGAAGUAGCCUGGCAGACAGACCUGACCUUAACGUGCAGCAUACCUCUUCCUCCAAAACAUGUUAAAAACGUAAUGGUUGGUUUUUAUAUAGACCACAACAAGCCUCAAAACAUAUGCAUGUUUGAAAAAUCUCAAAACGGCAUAUGUCACGGCGACCCUGUGGGUAUAAAGGCUGCUUGCAUUUGUCCAAUCCAGGACAAUUCUAAAUGGGCGAACUAUACUGUGACUAUACGGAAUAUAGAAGCACAUAUGACGGCAUUUUGGUGUGGAGCAUAUGCUAUGAAUGGAAGACCAAGUGAUAUGACAAAGCGCAGCAAUGUUGUUGAGGUCAAAAUCUUAUGUAAGUUAUUAUUUCUAUUUAAAAAUUGUACAUGCAUAUACACGCACACGGCUCCGUGUAUUUUCACCCUAACAUCAGUCGCACACCCAGAGUCUCUUUGUUCCAUUCGCCCACUAUUCAACUGUUCUAUUCAAGACAAUUAACGUGCACGUUCAGAGCAAGCUGUUGUAACGCACGCCUGUCCUGGGCACAAGCACCAGCCUCAGCCAGCUCCUCCGUCCAGGACAGGAAAGGUGUGGGGUGGGUAGCAGAAGGGACUUACAAAUAAUACUAAUUAUAAAUAAUAAUUCUGGCACAAUUUUAAACUGGCAGUCUAAAUAAAAACUUAAUUAUUUUAAUUAAUUUAGCCCUUGUUGGGAGGGAAGAGGAGGUUAAUUGAGGAGGCAGGGCUCGAAACUUGCCAAAAAAUAUGGUGGCCCAAAACAAAUAUCUGGGCCACUAAAAUUUAAUUUUCAGUGGCACAAACUUGCUUUAGGUAGCCCAAACACGAAAUAUUCAUAUUUCAGGUUUUAAGCGAAAUAUGUAAGUAAAUAAGCAUGUGAAAGGUGCUUCUAAGAUAGCAAA